CCUAGGGGUGGCUGCAGUGGGGAAUAUUGGACAAUGGGCGAAAGCCUGAUCCAGCCAUGCCGCGUGUGUGAAGAAGGCCUUCGGGUUGUAAAGCACUUUCAGUGGGGAAGAAAGCCUUGGGGCUAAUACCCUCGAGGAAGGACAUCACCCACAGAAGAAGCACCGGCUAACUCCGUGCCAGCAGCCGCGGUAAUACGGAGGGUGCGAGCGUUAAUCGGAAUUACUGGGCGUAAAGCGCGCGUAGGCGGUCUGAUAAGCCGGUUGUGAAAGCCCCGGGCUCAACCUGGGAACGGCAUCCGGAACUGUCAGGCUAGAGUGCAGGAGAGGAAGGUAGAAUUCCCGGUGUAGCGGUGAAAUGCGUAGAGAUCGGGAGGAAUACCAGUGGCGAAGGCGGCCUUCUGGACUGACACUGACGCUGAGGUGCGAAAGCGUGGGUAGCAAACAGGAUUAGAUACCCUAGUAGUC
rnacentral:rRNA from 1 species